GGAGCAUGUGCAGUACACCUUGAG
rnacentral:siRNA from 1 species